GGUGCCGCAGGGCACGGGUGCCCUGGCGGCGCUGCAGCCGACGCUCGGCGGCGGCCCGUUCAACACGGCCGUGGCGCUG
rnacentral:tRNA from 1 species